AGGAAAGCGAACGUCCAGCUGAAGAGAGGAGAAGCCCUAGAAGUGAUACAGGCUCUGGCCGGGGGACCCGAUGUGCUCGUGUCGCGGCGUGGGGCUUGGUGAGGAACCACCGGAGUGCUCUUGCAUUUUUCAUGACAAAGACCACACAGUUGGCCUCAUUCCUGCACAGUGGGAGAAUGUGUGGAGGUGUCCCGCCACCAGAGAGGAGGUCUAUGUCAGCACCAUCACCAGCAUCCAGGCUACCUACAAGAGGAGGCAGGGGGACUCCUCUGACACACCUGGGGAGGUCUCGUCAAUGGCAGGUUCCCUCUACAAUGCUUUCUCUGCUGCAAAUGCAACUCAGCAUCACCUCUUUCCUGGAUAUAAUUCCAAGGAAUUAUUAAAGGAGGCAUUGGUGUCAGCACCUCGUGAAAUACUCGUAAGGA
ensembl:lncRNA MEG9 maternally expressed 9